rnacentral:rRNA from 1 species
UACGAGGGGGGCAAAUGUUGUUCGGAAUCACUGGGCGUAAAGGGCGCGUAGGCGGGUUUCUAAGUCAGGUGUUUAAUCCCGGGGCCCAACCCCGGACAGGCACUUGAAACUGGGAAUCUUGAAUAGUGGAGAGGUCAGUGGAAUUGGGGGUGUAGCGGUGGAAUGCGUAGAGAUCCCCAAGAACACCAGUUGCGAAGGCGGCUGACUGGACACAUAUUGACGCUGAGGCUCGAAAGCAUGGGGAGCAAACAGG